GCAGGGCUCCGGGCGGCCGUGACCCUGCUGGAGUCCGGGGGGGACCUCCAGCCCCCCGGGGGGUCCCUGCGCCUCCUCUGCCGAGGCUCCGGGUUCAGUUUCGGCAGUUUUGGGAUGGGCUGGUAUCGCCAGAGACCCGGGCAGGGGCUGGAAUACGUCGCAAGUAUCAACAGCAAUGGUGCUUACACCGGCUACGCGCCCUCGGUCAAGGGCCGGUUCACGAUCUCCAGGGACAACGGGCAGAGCUCGGUGACGCUGACCAUGAACAACCUCAAGGACGAGGAUUCCGGAUCCUAUUUCUGUGCCAAACGUGCUUAUGCUGAUGGUUAUGGUGCACGGCUCUGGUCCCGCGGCUGUGGCACUGGGAAGGCGCCAGCAGCUCUCGUGCCCGGCCGCAGACACAGAACUCGCUGUGACAACUGA